GCUCUGGUAGAUCAAUAUAGAUCAUCCAUUCAUCAUGAUCUUUGAGGCACUAUUGAAGGAUACAGGGAAGACGGAGGCUCGAAUCCUCCCCAGAGCG